GGAGUCUAGCAUGUGCGCGAGUCAUUGGGACUUUUCUAAACCUAAAGGCGAAAUGAAAGUGAAAGUUCGUUUAAGCGCGAACCGAGGGAGGAUGGGCCGCGUUCGCGUGGCCCCGCACUCCCGGGGCGUUUCGUUCUAAUCGUCAUUGAUCUAUAUGAUGGCGAUAAGAGGAGGCGCACCCAGAGCGUACACGCUGGGACCCGAAAGAUGGUGAACUAUGCCUGGUCAGGACGAAGUCAGGGGAAACCCUGAUGGAGGUCCGUAGCGAUUCUGACGUGCAAAUCGAUCGUCGGAACUGGGUAUAGGGGCGAAAGACCGAUCGAACCGUCUAGUAGCUGGUUCCCUCCGAAGUUUCCCUCAGGAUAGCUGGCGCUCGCUUUGCGAGUCUCAUCCGGUAAAGCGAAUGAUUAGAGGCAUUGGGGUCGAAACGGCCUCAACCUAUUCUCAAACUUUAAAUGGGUGAGAACUCCGGCUUGCUCGAGUAGUGAAGCCGCGAGACUAUUAAGUAAAUAUUAUUAUUAUCUAUAUAUUUAUAUUUAAUAAUAAAAUAAUAAGGAUCAGAGUGCCAAGUGGGCCACUUUUGGUAAGCAGAACUGGCGCUGUGGGAUGAACCAAACGCAGAGUUAAAGCGCCCAAAUCGACGCUUAUGGGAUACCAUGAAAGGCGUUGGUAACUUAAGAUAGCAGGACGGUGGCCAUGGAA
rnacentral:rRNA from 1 species